rnacentral:lncRNA from 1 species
UAAUAAUGUGUUUUUCCAAUUCCUUCAAUUGAUAGCAACUAUGUAAUUUGUAAUGAAACUAUGAUUUUAUAAUCAUUCUACUGGUUAUGGAGUGCUUUUUGCUGGAAUAGGAAUUGAAUUUAUAUUUUCUUUAGUAGGAAGGAUGUGAAUUAAUGUGGCAUUUGUGUAUUUAGUCAAUUUUUGAUAAAACUAGGGCAAAUAUUGUUUUGGAUAAAAGCGGAGUGAUUUAAAAUGGACAUGGGUCAUUUUGUCUUUGGAGUAUCUGGGUGCCUCAGUUUGUUUAAUUAUAAAAAUUGUGUACAAGAUAUCUCAUGAAGAUACAGCCCUAAAUAGACCAAAUUAUGGAUAAGGAUUCUGGUAGUUGACCCAAAAUAGUUGGAAUGAGGCUUUGUUGAGUUCUCUUUCACAUUUUUGCAUGAUGCAACUAAAUUUUAGUUGUUUGAUUGAACAGUAUGGUAGUUGAGCUUCUAUAAACCUAGAUAAUCUUCCUGGUAGGUCUGCUUAUUGUCCAUACACUGUCCACAUCUCUCUCCACAAACCAAUGCCAAAUUUGUCAGAGAAUCUGGAUUGAUUUGUCAACACAUUAAUUAGGAUUUUUAUCAUCUGAGCAAAAGGUUGACCGGUUGAGAGAAGAUCACUAUUUGAUUAGUAUUUUCACCAACAAUUCAUUCCUUAUUUAGUGGGCAUCUGCAAUCAUUAUAUACUUAUUGGAUUUUUUUAGAGCAAACUAUUUGUCGAUUUGUUAUUUCCUCAGAUGAUAUGAUAUUUCUUUAUCUAAUUCUCUAGAAUCGCAUCUGAGCUUCUGUACCAUAAUUUUGUUAUUAUUCUUAUCGAUUGAAACAACAUUACAUUGACUUUAUGCUUAUAUCAUCUAUUAGCCAUCAUGGAGUGACUACCAACCAUACCGGAUUUGUGACCAUGUGACUGUUAAAUGGCUUUUUAAUCAGUCAUUUAAAUCGGAAAGAGGGAACUUUUUGAAUCAACGGUACUUGAGUCAUGGUAAAGCUGUUGGAUAGUAUCUUUUGAUUUUAGAUUCUCAAUAAAUUAGUAGCUAAUAGUCUUCAUGUGGCCUGCAUAAAUUGCUUUAUGUACUCCUAUAAACUCAAGAGUUCACUUGAAAUCACCCGGUCAAUUUAUUUCCAGAUUAGUAUGCAUGAAAAAUUCACAGAAUUUUCCUUAAUUCUUUUCUUUGUUUGGGGGUUCCAAUGGUUUUACCAUCUAGAUUAGAUGGGGUGACAAGCUUUAAAUAGAAAUGCAUGAGUUAAAGGUCAAACGAUGAGAUACACGUUGAGAGAAUGCACACAGAAUGGUCAACAGUAAUAGUUACUACUUUGUGUUGCCUAGCCUAUGCUUAUAUGUGAUAAUCUAUGGAUUUAGUAAUGCCAGCCUGGCUCAUUGCAUGUAUUACCUGAGCCUGGUUUCUUGGUACUCAUGAGACCAGUGGUUUAAGUAUUUUUCAGAUGAUUGGAGCUUACUGAAGUUAUACACCCACAGUUUUAGUUCUGUUGAACAUACAGAUAAGGAAUGCUGGCAGCACUUCUUCAUUCCACUAACUUCAAAGCACAGUUCCUAAACAAAUAUGCUUGUUUAGCAUAUAGAGUGAAACAUGAUAGCUCAACCUGAUAUUAUUGCUUUCCCCUAAGAGAAAUUUUAUGAAACUGUUUCUAGAUUUAUGGGCAUUCGAGGCUUGCCUCUUUGGAUGAGCAUAUCUUGAAAUUUCAUCUAAAUAUCCUUUUGAAGUAUUUUUAAAUGUUUCAUGCAAGUGAAAGCAGGUUUAACUGAUUUAUACUAAUAAUGUGAGCAAUCUUAUGUUUCCAAACAGUCUUCUUAGCUCCUCUUAGUGGGUUUAUUUAUUGUAAAACAAUUUAGUGUAUUGGCUGCUCUCUUCCUUAAUUUCUCACUCACAUUUGCAUUAACUUGUGCACUUGUACACACAUACAAGCAGGUAUAAUAUGGAAGGGGAAAACCGAAACAAGGCAAGAAUUUAAUUUUGUCAUAACAAUAUUGAAGUUAUCAGUUGUUGUCAUUACAGUCCCAUUUUGUAAAAUAUCAAUGUUUUCAGAACUGGACCGGUUAUUGAACCGGAAAUGUUACCGGUUCAUUGGUCAGACUGGCGGUUGAACCAGUGACAUUAUAAACAUAUAUUUUAUAUAUUAUUAAGAUUAAAAAAUAAUAAUAAAUUAUAAAAAUUAAAUAUUAAACAUAAUAUCAAGAUUAUAAUCAACCAAAAAAAAAGCAUAUUAAAUACAAAACAUAAAAAAUAAAAUUGAAAGGAGCUACUGCCCUUACAGCAAUGCAAGCGGAGCACUGCCGGGGAUGGGGUGGGGGUGUUUUGCCAUCGGGGGAGCGAUGUUCAACUAGUGACAGCUCUGUGCUGGUGACAGUGGGCGGCUCCAACUAAGGCAGCCGCACGAGGGGUUUGGGGGGUGGGGGGGAUGAAAAUGAGAUUUUAUACUCAUCAAAACGGCAUUGUUUUGAUGUUGGGGAAAAAUAAAAUUAAUUGAACCGUCCGGUUUGGAGGGAGCCGGACGGUUUGUUCGAUUCGCCGGUCUGAUUCCGGUUCAACCUCUUUUUGGCCUAAUUGACCGGAUCAGACUGGAACCGUGACCGGCUGAUCUGGUCUGGUUUUUAAAACCAUGUAAAAUAUGCUGGGACUGAUCUGUCUGUUAUGUUCAGGGCACUCUUACUGCAAUUAGAGACUGGUUUAGAGACUAUAAGAUCCCUGAUGGAAAACCAGCUAACAAGUUCGGUCUGGGCAACAAGGCAGCAAACAAGGUACUUUUAGAUUCAUAUUGCUUUAUUUUUGUGUUUAAUUUUUCUACGCAUUGAAAAGUUUUCAUGGGCAUCCUCUCAGUUGGAUAAAAGAAAAUCUGGAGUGGAAACAAAUCCACCUGUCUGCUUAUUAUCUUCUAUUCUAUUAUGUUUUCAUUUUUGACUUGGGAAUAAAUUUUCUGUUUAAGCAGGAUUAUGCCCUCAAGGUAAUUAAUGAGACUAAUGAGUCUUGGGCUAAACUUGUCAAGAGAUCGAUUCCUGCUGGAGAGCUAUCACUUGUGUAAAUAUGAUUUGAAGAGUCGACCUGCGGCUGUUACUGCUGGGUACCCUUAGUGACACACAUAAAGAGGUUUUACUUCUGGUGUAGUCCUGGUAUUAUUAUUAGUUGACAUGAACUUUAUUUUUUCACAAUUUUGAGCUAGAACAUACUCUAAUUGCAGCCUGUCUUUAUUCUUGCACUCAUCAUUAUGAAAUAAAGCUUUUUCUUUUUUUGGUUUUCAAAUUAGAAGAUUGAUCUACCAAUUGAUUAUACUGAUACCCAAGCAAUGUUCUUCAGGGGAUCUGAAACUUUACUACAGGCCUUUUAGUUUUUGAAUUGGAAAUCGUACAUACACCAAGCGAUGGAUUUGGUCCAUUAAUCAAUUUGUAGGUGUUAUGUAUGGAUGGAACUCAACUAUCUCUAUCAUAGUGGUGUUAAUCCUAAUUAGGGGCAAAGGUAAGGGCGAGGUGGCUUCAGCUUGGGGAUGCUACAAAUGCAUAGGGUGAGGAAUACUAUUUUGUGUCUUAAUGAUGAGUACGGGAAUAGACCAGAGGAGUAUGCAGCUGUUAAAGCGUCUAUUACAGGUUUUUAUAAUAAGCUUCUGAACUCAUUCUACAUAUCUUAAUAAUGCCAGACUUAGACUGCAGGGUGUUAAGAUGUCUUAGACCUCCUUAGCAAAUUAAGAUGCUGAAGAACCCUGUAGAGGAAAAGGAAAUACAUCAGGCGAUGUUUGGAAUGAAGAAUAACAAGGCCCCUAGCCUGAUGGUUUCACUGCUUCAUUUUACGAAAUGAAUUGGGAUGUGGUCAGUGCUGCGGUGGUAGCUGCAGUAUCUAAUUUAUUUAGUACUUCGGUGGGUUGCCGGAUUUAAUCUAACUUUUGGACAGACCAGGGCAAGUAUUUGUAUUUGGAUUGAGCUUAGGUUGAGUAUUUUUCAUUUUGAACUCAAUGCGGGUUGGCUUUAGGUCAAGGUUCGGAGGUUCGGACAAUCGAAAUCUAAUUUGACCAGAUUUGAUAUUUUUGUUAUUAUAUUUAUAAUUUAUAUUGUCUUGUAUAAUAAUAUUUAUUUUAUUUAUUUAUUUAGAUUUUUAAGGAAAAAUAUUAAAUUGUUAUUAUACCUUAUACUAUUUCAUUUUCUAGAAAGAUGUAUAAGUUUUCAAAAAAAUUGUUGAUCAGUUUUAUAUCAUAUGAUUUUUUUGAUUUAUGUCUUUAACUUCUACAUCUAGUUGAUACGGAAAUAAAUGGUUAUCUCAAAUAGGUGUGACAUUCCAAAAUUAUUUUUAAAAAUGACUUUCAAAGGUUUUCAUUUAAAAUAUUAUUUUACAUAAAAAAAAUAAAAAUAAAAAUGCUUUUUAAUGCCUAAAGAUGAUUGGACCUGUUUUGUUGGAGCAAGAAAACUAUUUUCCAUUUUUCCACAAUAAUUUUUUGUUUAAAAAAAAAACUUUUUUAAUUCAAAAAGAAAAAACGAAAAACAUAUUUGAUA